GAUGGGAAAAACGAGGGCGUAUGAAUGCGCUCUUUGCACUAUUCAUCUGUCGCAGACGCACAUCUUAUUGAAAACUCUUAUCAACAGUUCAAAUUCCACAUUGCAUGUUCCUGAACUCACAGUUGACACUUUCAGAUGUUUUCAGAUGCAAAUGCGAAUUCGUCCGAACACGGCAAAGAAUCAUGAGCUUCUCAAACUUGACUUUGCUCCGUGAGCCAAGUAUGGAGCAAAGGUAAAAAGAUGAUUUGAGGGGAAGGACCGAAGCAACUCGGAGAAUAACUUGUUCCAAUGUCCCUUCAUCAUGGGCAGACAAACAAUGGACAUUGAAAACCAGCUGGUGGAUUCUUGCAUAUUUCUACAGUGAACUAGCCAAAAUCAAUUUACAAGAGGCUCCUUCAGAUAACCUGGACACAAAAAACUUGGUAAUCUUAUACAGAAGAUAUGAGAACAGACUUAGUUUAUACAGAGGAAUGAAAUAUGACUUUGGUAAUCUGAUUCUGACAGGUGUAAACUGGCCAAUACAAAAUUUAGUCAAAUAUGGCAUUUCUAUUUAUUAAAUUUGAAUGGGUUAACACAGACACAACAGAAGGUAGCUGAUGGUACUGUAAAAUUAACAUUAAACUGUAUAUUCGUUUAUACAACUAAUAACACUGCUUUCCUUUAGUGUGGACCCAGAUUUAAUAACAUUCAAAACAAACCACACAAUAUAAUAUACACUAGCAGUCUUGUUGAUCUGCAAGUCCCCGUAUUUACAUUAUUACAACUGAAUACACUUGAACUAGUCUGUUUUGGAACUGGAAUAAAUUAAUAUAUAUAUAUUAUUCUAAAUUCAUUGACUUCCAUUCUCCUCAUUAUUGUCAAGCUCACGUAGAAACGACGAACACGAACAUGAUAUUUUUGUAAAAACUGUUACAGAGAGGCUUUAUUAUUAAUACAAACCAUGUGGAACAAACAAGGAACUUCUCCUUGCAAUCAAAUAAUGUACAGAAUUUGUUUGCUCAUUAAUGUAAUAAAAAUAAUGGACAGAUACUUGCGGAAUGGAACCGUCAGGAUUACAGCCUUCUUGGAUGUGAUGCCAUGUAUUUUGGUAGAAAAGUAGGAAUGUGAGAUCUGAAAUUCCCACAGCAAUUACUAAAGAUUACUGUUUUCUGGGGUAUGACAUCAUAUAAUCUGGUACAUAUUUACCACUGCUUCGGUGGAAUAUGCUACUUCCAUCUUCAGGGGAGAAAUCAGAAUAGUCUGUGACAGCACAUUCCUCUGAAAUAUCAGUAACCAUCUUUCACGUCUUCCAGACUACAUGGUCACAUCCCAAAAGAUAAUAAUCUUCAAGCACCAAUGUUUCAGAAGAGAGCAGAUGUUCCUCCAAAAGGUCAAUUCCUAUCUGCCAGCUACACAAAGACAUGCUGCAGAUAACUGCAGCCUUAAUGCCAUCAGAAUCGUCAAAUCUCACAAUUUUCUGAUUAUGGCUCUUCAUUAUUAUCAUACUGUAUCAACUGCAGAGGUUACUAUAUAUUGAACAAGGUGGUCACUGAAAGAGCAGAUAUCUGAGCAUUUGUCUGGAGAGGCUAAUGGAAACAACAGAAAUCACACCGGGGUAAGAUUAAAAAAUCAUGUACCUCCUCAGUGAAAGUCUGUCAUGUUACUGCUUGGUAAGAAAUUAAAAACAAUUACCUUAUAAGAUUUGUCUGUUAUUAAAAAAAGUUAAGUGACCCUUAGUAAGAAAUGAAGCAGGUAACCACACUAUAUGAAUUAGCAGUCCAUUCAAGUAAGCAACAUAAACACUGAACAAUAUUAUCCAAUGCAAUGAAAUCUGCACAAACCCAAAAUUAUAUCCUGUAUUUCUAAAAUGCAAUCUAAAAUGCAGUCCAUUCAAGUAAGCAACAUAAACACUGAACAAUAUUAUCCAAUGCAAUGAAAUCUGCACAAACCCAAAAUUAUAUCCUGUAUUUCUAAAAUGCAAUCACAUAGUAAGAUGAAGAUUAUGGCCUUCAGGGACGUGAUUCUGUGUAGAUAUUCACUAAUAUUUUAAAGGAAUCUAGCAGCUCCAUCUUCAGGACAGAAAAGCCAUGCAUUGGGAAAAAAUUGUCAGUGAUACAGAGAGGGGAGGAAAAUGUUUGGGGCCAGCCCCUGUAAAAGAUGGAGACAGCAAGUUGCUGCAAAAUAUUGGUGCUUAUCCAUCAAACUACAGCGUCACAUCAUCCCAGAAGACUCUAAUCUUACAACAUUAAUGUAAUGGGCAAGAGUAUAGAUAUUGUUGCUCAUUUAAUGCGUAGAAAUUGUUGCAUGUCAUGCCUCCAGAGCUUCUUUUCUGUGGGUCUAAGCCUCAGCUCUCCUCAGGAGACAGGCUUGGUCUGGUGAUAGAGUGGGUCGAUAAGACAUUCAAAACAUAGGGCCAUUACACAGAGGAAGCUCUGGUUUGAACUGAAGAUCAAAACAACUAGUGCCUCUGCAUGUGUUGAAUGCUUAAGAAUGUGAAUGUGUGUAUGCCAACACACAAACAUAUACAAAAUGAAUUCAAAUUAAUUUAACAUUUAAGAGUUCUACCUUUCUGAAUAUAAUGCUGUAUAGUCCGUUGAGAGUCAACCAACAUUUCAGAGAAACAUGCCACCUACAUCCUCAGGGACAAAGAGUAAGCAAAGCAAGAAACAAGUAAAGCUCGUUUCUUGCUUGGCUGCCUCUUCAAUUGUGAGGAUGGAGGUCACAUAUUUCUCCAAAACGUUGGUUGACAUUUAAUAGACUACAUGGUGAAAUAUCCCAGGAGACAGAAUUAUUGGAAAAUAAAUUUGGCUGAAACUAUUUUCUUUUACAAAAUUCAAAUUUCUUACAUGUAUGCUAGCCUGCAAAUGUAUGUUAGUAAUACAGGAGGGUUGGUGGCAAAGUAAUUGCUAUAUCCUGCUUAUUUGUAAAAUCUGAAAAGAUCAAUGUAGUUCAAGUUCUUUUUAGCAUGCUGACCAUAUGGAGACGAAUUGGAAAAGAUCUGAAGGGAAGCAGUCAGAAUAUAAUCAAGGUACUACCCAGCAAUUGUGAUGGGGGGGGGGGAACCUUGGCCACAAUAGCCAGUAUCCCAGCCAACAUUUGAACUCAGCACUUUCUGGAUAUGUCUCGGGCAUUACUGCUACACCAACCCCACGUGGUCAUAAGUUCCUUAAAGUUCAUUCUUAUACACCUACUAUUAUUUCUAACAAUCAAAGAGUGUUCUUAUUACAGUUGUGGAUUGGACAGAUUUAAGUAGAUAUGCAUCUGCAAUUACAACAUGUGAGCCAAUGAAAAUUCACAUUAUAUACUCAUCUUCAAGAACACAUCCCUUCAGUAAUGUUAGGGCAUGCUGUACUUGUUAGAAAAUUACAUUCUAAUGUUAAACAAAAAAGUGUGUAAGAGUUUAAUGUUAAUUUCCUGAUGUCAAACAGAAGAACAUAAAUGAACCAAUAAGCAACCUCUACACUGUAGACUCUUUAUCGCUGGCUCCUUGUCUACUUCAUGAAUGUUACAACAUGUAAUCUGGCAUACAUUCACCAACAUUUUGGAGGUACAUACAGCCUCUUCAAAGAAGAAUAAUAAGCCAAUUAUUACCCUCCAGAAAACAGUAUCCCUAUAUACAGUAAAUUACAUGAGAAGACUACAAAUGUUAAGUAUUGUCUUCAUGUUUGGAGCAGUGUAAUUGCUAGUCUAUGAGAAAGCAAAGAAGCUUUCAACCUGAUCUGACAGAAAUUCAAAUGGAACUCAAGUUGGAAUAAAGUGAGAUGGGCAUCAGAAAGCAUUUUCCAUCACGUUUGAUAAACUGGAGGUACCACGGAUGCUAUAGCCUGCCAUCUUACAUGUCUUCCAGAGUGAGGGAUUUUUCCUAUUUUCAUAAUUCUAACAAAAAAAAA